AUGGACACACGGGCUGCUAUUGUUUGCUUCCUCGUGGUGCUAGCACUAGUGGGUACUCCUAUUUCUGCAGAUAACUGCACGGUCGUUGACGACGGUGGGGAGUUUUUCUGCACCAAGCCCCUGUGCAAGGCCACAUGCGAGGUGUUUGCACGUGAUAGGAAGGGCAACCUCAAGGACUACCACUGUGAGAAGAAGAACGCCAUCAAGGCUGUUUGCUAA
rnacentral:rRNA from 1 species